rnacentral:rRNA from 1 species
UACGUAGGGUGCAAGCGUUUGUCCGGAAUUAUUGGGCGUAAAGAGCUCGUAGGCGGCUUGUUGCGUCAGCUGUGAAAACCCGCAGCUCAACUGUGGGCUUGCAGCUGAUACGGGCAGGCUUGAGUUCGGUAGGGGAGACUGGAAUUCCUGGUGUAGCGGUGAAAUGCGCAGAUAUCAGGAGGAACACCGGUGGCGAAGGCGGGUCUCUGGGCCGAUACUGACGCUGAGGAGCGAAAGCGUGGGGAGCGAACAGG